CGCCACAUUUGAUCUGGUAAACCACGCCCCUUUCCACUCAAACGGUGACCUGAACAGCUGCAGAGCAGAUCGUCUUGAGAAAAUCGUCACUGCCAACAAAGAACAACUGACGCCAGACCAAGACAACUUUCUUUUAGAUAAACAUGUCUGUGAUUCAAGUACGUUGGUGUUAAAGGGAUGUCAAAUUAAUUUGCAAGGUACAAUAGACACAAGGUGUGCUGAGCAACUUUCAGUGAUGCUACAAGGUGACUAAUUUCAUGGAAAAGCUGACUGAAAAAAAUAGAAAGGCUUGGAGAAGGCCGCCCCCUGCCGCCACUGAGGACAACUACACUAAUACAGACAAGAGCGCCUCAACAGUUACACACUCAAGAGUUGGGGUUUUGCCGUAUGCGACUAGCUACCAUCUCCAACGCUUGUGCAAAACGGAAAAGAAAACUGGUUACGUCAGGAGCCAGACACAAGGGUGAACGAUGUGCCGUGAGCUGGAGAGACCCGGGAUGAUGGAAAGAGAAAGGAGGAUCAGAUCACCUCGCCCGCAGAGCCUCUCACCCCGACACACUGAGCAGGGGGACUGAAGUAUGCCAAUAUGGCCAGCUUUCAAGCAAUCACCCCUUGAAGCGCUCCCUGUGGUGAAGCCGAAGGAUCCCCCACAUUGCACUGCAGGAGAAGCCAACCUCAGCCUCGAACCACCCUUCAGGUAUACUCAGUGCGCCCUGGGAAGUGCGGUCCUCAGCUCUCCAGACUCAUGAAGGCCACCACCUGCUCCAGCUUGAAGGCCAGCCUCUGUUUUCUUGCUGCAUCAUCCUGCUCCAGUGCACACACAAUCUGCCACAGUGAGCUGCAGCCGCUCGAGGACAGGCCCGCUGUUUGGCUGCCUAAUUCUGGGCAUGUGUGAGCGAGCGAUGCAUUUGCCAGGAAGCAAAUCUUCAGAGCAAACCGAGCAAAGGAAAAUGCAGGGAGUCACUGAACAACCAUAGGAGACCGUUAGCUUGCUCACCAGUCUCCUUUCAUAGCUGCUGCUGCAUUCUGCCUUUUAAAUCCUCUCCCUGGCAUGACCCUUACUUUGUCACGGUUGGACAGCAGACUGAAGCGGCACUCGAUCCACUCCUACUCAGUCAUCACUAUAUUACUGAAUUAUUACAGCUGAAUAAUGCAGUUCCACUGUGGGGUGAUCACAUGACAGUAUAGCUCCACCAAAACUUGCAACUCAAGUAUGCUUUAUGCACACUACAGGACAGUGUAUGGUUUCUGUUUACAGCUCUUUGACAACAGUGUGUACACGCAAAGUGCUUAAAACAGUAACUAAAUACAGGCUAAAAUUGCUGCCCCCUACAGUGGUGCUGUCUGUCCACAUAAACUGUUAUUCUCCCGACAGCAUGUAAACAUGUCCAUGUAUGGAUCAACAGAGGACCCUCACACAGUUUCCUCACACUGCAGACACACACACACAGGACUAAUGAGUAUAGUCCUGAGCCUGAAGCUCCUCAUUUGGUUCCACACAUUCGAGCAGUGCACAUAUAUUCUCGUCCUGAGGCUUUCCUUGUAAGGAAGCCAGCAACACCUAAAUUCUGACCACUUCACACUACCCCAUCUUUUAUUCAGGACCUCUUUGCCUCCCCUGCUGAUAAAUAAAUUUAACAAAACUUUUUUUUAAAUUACCAGCUUCUACUCUCAGCUGCUCUCAAAAAUCCCUUUCCCUCUCUUUUCCCCCUCAACACACUGACUUCUCUGUGCUGUAGAUCUCAAGCCCUGGGUGUUCCCUUCCAUUCCCACUGUGUUGUAAUUUGGAUUGUGUUUCAUGGCCCAUAGAUCACAAUGCUACCAUCGUGUUGUGUGUGUUGGAAUGAAAUGAAAGCACAUCCUCCCUUCAUCCAUGCAGUGUUUAGUGUGUAUCGACAGCUCACCUCUC